rnacentral:rRNA from 1 species
CCUACGUGAGGCAGCAGUGGGGAAUAUUGCACAAUGGAGGGAACUCUGAUGCAGCGACGCCACGUGAGUGAAGAAGGAAUUCGUUAUGUAAAGCUCUAUCAGCAGGGGAGUAAGUGACGGUACCUGAACAAGAAGCUCCGGCUAAAUACGUGCCAGCAGCCGUGGUAAUACGUAUGGAGCAAGCGUUAUCCGGAUUUACUGGGUGUAAAGGGAGAGCAGGUGGCAGAGCAAGUCCGAAGUGAAGAUCCAAAGCUCAACCAUGAGAAUGCUUUAGAAACUGCUCAUCUAGAGUGCAGGAGAGGCAGGUGGAAUUCUUAGUGUAGCGGUGAAAUGCGUAGAUAUUACGAAGAACACCAGUGGCGAAGGCGGCUUGCUGGACUGUAACUGACACUGAGGCUCGAAAGCGUGGGGAGCAAACAGGAUUAGAUACCCUUGUAGUC